rnacentral:rRNA from 1 species
UACGUAGGCGGCAAGCGUUGUCCGGAUUUACUGGGCGUAAAGGGCGUGCAGGCGGUCUGUUAAGUCUGGGGUGAAAGCUCCCGGCUCAACUGGGAGAGGUCCUUGGAUACUGGCGGACUUGAGGGAGGCAGAGGAAAGUGGAAUUCCCGGUGUAGUGGUGAUAUGCGUAGAUAUCGGGAGGAACACCAGUGGCGAAGGCGGCUUUCUGGGCCUUACCUGACGCUGAGACGCGAAAGCGUGGGGAGCGAACCGG